UGCAACUCGACUACAUGAAGCUGGAAUCGCUAGUAAUCGCAGAUCAGAAUGCUGCGGUGAAUACGUUCCCGGGUCUUGUACACACCGCCCGUCACACCAUGAGAGUUGGGGAUACCCGAAGCCUGUGAGCCAACUUUUUAAGAGGCAGCAGUCGAAGGUAGAAUCAAUGAUUGGGGUGAAGUCGUAACAAGGUAAC
rnacentral:rRNA from 1 species